AGGUGUUCUAUAUUCCAAGAGUUUGAUACUUGUUCUCCUGAGAGCUCUUGUAGUCUGUAAGAUCCGGGUCCUGUAACCUUGGAUACAAUGUAAGGACCUUCCCAUGGUGAAUUGAGUUUAUGCAAUCCUGACGUGUCUUGGAUUCGUUUGAGGACCAUGUCGCCUAAGUUGAAAGAUCGUUCUUUGACGUUGGGGUCGUGGUAACACCUUAACCCAUCAAGGUAUCUGGCAGAUUGUACUAGCACUGUGCAUCUUGCUUCUUCUAGACUGUCUAGAUCUGUUCACCUUGUUUCUUCUGCCAUUUCUUCGUCGUAUUGUUCGACUGAGGGAGAUUGCCACAUGAUGUCUGCGGGUAAUAUAGCUUCUAAGCCAUAUACGAGGAAAUAGGGAGAGGGCCCAGUAGUCUUGCAUGGUUGGGUUCGUAGUCCCCAUAGAGCAUUG
rnacentral:lncRNA from 1 species